GAACGGUUGGCUCAGUAGGUAAGAGCGCUCGGACGCAACCCGAGAGGUUGCGGGUUCGAGUCCCGCAUUGUUCA